AUCUAGCCCAAGAGUCCCAAAUAGGACGAAACGCGCAUUCUGUAU
rfam:Schistosoma margrebowiei strain Zambia genome assembly, scaffold: SMRZ_contig0003852